rnacentral:rRNA from 1 species
GUUUGAUCCUGGCUCAGAACGAACGCUGGCGGCGUGCCUAAGACAUGCAAGUCGUGCGGAAAGGCUCCUUCGGGAGCACUCGAGCGGCGCACGGGUGAGUAACGCGUGGGUAAUCUGCCUUCGGGCUCGGGACAACUCCGGGAAACUGGAGCUAAUACCGGAUAAGACCACGGGACUUUCGGGUCCUGCGGAAAAAGGUGGCCUCUGCUUGCAAGCUACUGCCCGUUGAUGAGCCUGCGUCCCAUUAGCUAGUUGGUGGGGUAACGGCCUACCAAGGCGACGAUGGGUAGCUGGUCUGAGAGGAUGAUCAGCCACACUGGAACUGAGACACGGUCCAGACUCCUACGGGAGGCAGCAGUCGGGAAUUUUGGGCAAUGGGCGAAAGCCUGACCCAGCAACGCCGCGUGAGGGAUGAAGGCCCUCGGGUCGUAAACCUCUGUCGGGAGGGGAGAACGGUCGCGACGCGAAUAGCUUCGCGGCCUGACGGUACCUCCUAAGGAAGCACCGGCUAACUCCGUGCCAGCAGCCGCGGUAA